ensembl:snoRNA SNORD115 Small nucleolar RNA SNORD115
GGGUCUAUGAUGACAAUCCAAUGUCAGGAAGAGAGGCGGUGACAUAAAUAUCAUGCUUAGUAUGGUUCCGCUGAGGCCC